GAGUUUGAUCGUGGCUCAGGAUGAACGCUAGCGGGAGGCCUAACACAUGCAAGCCGAGCGGUAUUGUUUCUUCGGAAAUGAGAGAGCGGCGUACGGGUGCGGAACACGUGUGCAACCUGCCUUUAUCUGGGGGAUAGCCUUUCGAAAGGAAGAUUAAUACUCCAUAAUAUAUUGAACGGCAUCGUUUAAUAUUGAAAGCUCCGGCGGAUAGAGAUGGGCACGCGCAAG
rnacentral:rRNA from 1 species